AACAGGAUUAGAUACCCUGGUAGUCCAUGCCNNNNNCGAUGAGUGCUAAGUGUUGGAGGGUUUCCGCCCUUCAGNGCUGCAGCUAACGCAUUAAGCACUCCGCCUGGGGAGUACGACCGCAAGGUUGAAACUCAAAGGAAUUGACGGGGGCCCGCACAAGCGGUGGAGCAUGUGGUUUAAUUCGAUGCUACGCGAAGAACCUUACCAGGUCUUGACAUCUUCUGCUAACCUAAGAGAUUAGGCGUUCCCUUCGGGGACGGAAUGACAGGUGGUGCAUGGUUGUCGUCAGCUCGUGUCGUGAGAUGUUGGGUUAAGUCCCGCAACGAGCGCAACCCUUAUUGUCAGUUGCCAGCAUUUAGUUGGGCACUCUGGCGAGACUGCCGGUGACAAACCGGAGGAAGGUGGGGAUGACGUCAAAUCAUCAUGCCCCUUAUGACCUGGGCUACACACGUGCUACAAUGGACGGUACAACGAGUCGCGAAACCGCGAGGUCAAGCUAAUCUCUUAAAGCCGUUCUCAGUUCGGAUUGCAGGCUGCAACUCGCCUGCAUGAAGUUGGAAUCGCUAGUAAUCGUGGAUCAGCAUGCCACGGUGAAUACGUUCCCGGGCCUUGUACACACCGCCCGUCACACCAUGAGAGUUUGUAACACCCAAAGCCGGUGAGGUAACCUUCGGGAACCAGCCGUCUAAGGUGGGACAGAUGAUUAGGGUGAAGUCGUAACAAGGUAACC
rnacentral:rRNA from 1 species